rnacentral:rRNA from 1 species
CCCCACUGCUAUCGGGAUAGGACUAAGACAUGCUAGUCAAGCGCUCUCUAGCCAAUUUGAGAGUGCGGCGCACAGCUCAGUAACACGUGGCUAACCUGCCCUUGGGACGAGGACAACCCCGGGAAACUGGGGCUAAUCCUCGAUAGGUGAAGAACUCUGGAAUGAGUCUCCGCCAAAAAGACGCUUACGCUAUGCUUGUAGGCACCGCCCAAGGAUGGGGCCGCGACCGAUCAGGUUGUUGGUGAGGUAACGGCUCACCAAGCCUUUUACCGGUGCGGGCCGUGGGAGCGGGAGCCCGGAGAUGGGCACUGAGACAAGGGCCCAGGCCCUACGGGGCGCAGCAGUCGCGAAAACUUUGCAAUACACGAAAGUGUGACAGGGCUAUCCCGAGUGCCAUCCGCUGAGGAAGGCUUUUACCCAGUGUGGUAAGCUGGGAGAAUAAGGAGAGGGCAAGUCUGGUGUCAGCCGCCGCGGUAAUACCAGCUCUCCGAGUGGUGUGGAU